rnacentral:rRNA from 1 species
CAGGGAUUGCCUCAGUAACGGCGAGUGAAGCGGCAACAGCUCAAAUUUGAAAGCUGGCCUUUUUCAAGGUCCGCGUUGUAAUUUGUAGAGGAUGUUUCGGGCGCGGCGCUGGUCUAAGUUCCUUGGAACAGGACGUCAUGGAGGGUGAGAAUCCCGUAUGUGACCGGUGGCCUGCGCCUCUGUGAAACUCCUUCGACGAGUCGAGUUGUUUGGGAAUGCAGCUCAAAAUGGGAGGUGUAUUUCUUCUAAAGCUAAAUAUUGGCCAGAGACCGAUAGCGCACAAGUAGAGUGAUCGAAAGAUGAAAAGCACUUUGGAAAGAGAGUUAAACAGUACGUGAAAUUGUUGAAAGGGAAGCGCUUGCAAUCAGACUUGCGCGGCGUCGAUCCGCCCGGGUUCUCUCUGGUGUACUCGGCACCGCUCAGGCCAGCAUCAGUUUCGGCGGUGGGAUAAAGGUUCGGGGAAUGUGGGUGACUUCGGACACCGUUAUAGCCCCGGGCGCAAUGCCGCCUGCCGGGACUGAGGACCGCGCUUCGGCUAGGAUGCUGGCGUAAUGGUUGUAAGCGGCCCGUCUUGAAACACGGACCAAGGAGUCAAACAAUUGUGCGAGUGUUUGGAUGUCAAAUCCCUACGCGUAAUGAAAGUGAACGGAGGUGAGAACCCUUAAGGGUGCAUCAUCGACCGGUCCUGAUGUCUUCGGAUGGAUCUGAGUAAGAGCAUAGCUGUUUGGACCCGAAAGAUGGUGAACUAUGCCUGAAUAGGGUGAAGCCAGGGGAAACCCUGGUGGAGGCUCGCAGCGGUUCUGACGUGCAAAUCGAUCGUCAAAUUUGGGUAUAGGGGCGAAAGACUAAUCGAACCAUCUAGUAGCUGGUUCACGCCGAAGUUUCCCUCAGGAUAGCAGUGUUGAAUUCAGUUUUAUGAGGUAAAGCGAAUGAUUAGAGGACCUGGGGGUCGAAACGACCUUCACCUAUUCUCAAACUUUAAAUAUGUAAGAAGU